rnacentral:rRNA from 1 species
GUUCGUGAGAGCUAGUCUCGAGUGUUCACAACCUCCCCCCUCCAAUCGGUGUAGUGGGGUAUUCAGUUAUUUCACUACUCCUUUGGUCGUUUACUGUGAGAAAAUUAGAGUGUUCAAAGCGGGCGUUUGUUUGAAUAGAUUAGCAUGGAAUAAUGAUUGAAGGCUUUCGUGUUCGAUUUGAUUGGUUUGUUCAUGGAAGCAAGGUUAAAAGGAACAGUUGGGGGUAUUCAUGAUUCACUAGUUAGAGGUGAAAUUCUCGGAUUUAUGGAAGAUGAACAGGUGCGAAAGCAUUUACCAAGGAUGUUUUCAUUAAUCAAGAACGAAAGCUAGGGGAUCGAAGAGGAUUAGAUACCCUCGUAGUCUUAGCUAUUAAACGAUACCGACUAGGGGUUAGUAGAGGUCAAUGUGUCUCUAUUAGUACCUUAUGAGAAAUCAAAGUCUUUGGGUUCCGGGGGGAGUAUGGUCGCAAGGCUGAAACUUAAAGGGAAUUGACGGAAGGGCACCACCAGGGAGUGGAGCCUGCGGCUUAUUUUGACUCAACACGGGGGAAACUUUACCAGGUCCAGACAUAGGAAAAGGAAUUGAAA